rnacentral:rRNA from 1 species
AGCGAACGCUGGCGGCAGGCUUAACACAUGCAAGUCGAGCGCCCCGCAAGGGGAGCGGCAGACGGGAGAGUAACACGUGGGAACAUACCUUUUGGUUCGGAACAACUGAGGGAAACUUCAGCUAAUACCGGAUAAGCGCUUACGGGGAAAGAUUUAUCGCCGACAGAUUGGCCCGCGACUGAUUAGCUAGUUGGUGAGGUAACGGCUCACGAAGGCGACGAUCAGUAGCUGGUCUGAGAGGAUGAUCAGCCACACUGGGACUGAGACACGGCCCAGACUCCUACGGGAAGCAGCAGUGGGGAAUGUUGGACAAUGGGGGCAACCCUGAUCCAGCCAUGCCGCGUGAGUGAUGAAGGCCUUAGGGUUGUAAAGCUCUUUUGCCCGGGAAGAUAAUGACGGUACCGAGAGAAUAAGCCCCGGCUAACUUCGUG